AACGAACGCUGGCGGCAUGCCUAACACAUGCAAGUCGAACGAGACCUUCGGGUCUAGUGGCGCACGGGUGCGUAACGCGUGGGAAUCUGCCCUUGGGUUCGGAAUAACAGUUAGAAAUGACUGCUAAUACCGGAUGAUGACUUCGGUCCAAAGAUUUAUCGCCCAGGGAUGAGCCCGCGUAGGAUUAGCUUGUUGGUGAGGUAAAAGCUCACCAAGGCGACGAUCCUUAGCUGGUCUGAGAGGAUGAUCAGCCACACUGGGACUGAGACACGGCCCAGACUCCUACGGGAGGGAGCAGUGGGGAAUAUUGGACAAUGGGCGAAAGCCUGAUCCAGCAAUGCCGCGUGAGUGAUGAAGGCCUUAGGGUUGUAAAGCUCUUUUACCCGGGGUGAUAAUGACAGUACCGGGAGAAUAAGCCCCGGCUAACUCCGUGCCAGCAGCCGCCGCAGUAA
rnacentral:rRNA from 1 species